rnacentral:rRNA from 1 species
UAGAGUUUGAUCCUGGCUCAGGAUGAACGCUGGCGGCGUGCCUAAUACAUGCAAGUCGAGCGAACAGAUAAGGAGCUUGCUCCUUUGAAGUUAGCGGCGGACGGGUGAGUAACACGUGGGUAACCUACCUAUAAGACUGGGAUAACUUCGGGAAACCGGAGCUAAUACCGGAUAACAUUUAGAACCGCAUGGUUCUAAAGUGAAAGAUGGUUUUGCUAUCACUUAUAGAUGGACCCGCGCCGUAUUAGCUAGUUGGUAAGGUAACGGCUUACCAAGGCGACGAUACGUAGCCGACCUGAGAGGGUGAUCGGCCACACUGGAACUGAGACACGGUCCAGACUCCUACGGGAGGCAGCAGUAGGGAAUCUUCCGCAAUGGGCGAAAGCCUGACGGAGCAACGCCGCGUGAGUGAUGAAGGGUUUCGGCUCGUAAAACUCUGUUAUUAGGGAAGAACAAAUGUGUAAGUAACUGUGCACUCCUUGACGGUACCUANCAGAAAGCCACGGCUAANNACG